rnacentral:rRNA from 1 species
AUUGAACGCUGGCGGAAUGCUUUACACAUGCAAGUCGAGCGGCAGCNCGGGGGCAACCCUGGCGGCGAGCGGCGAACGGGUGAGUAACAUAUCGGAACGUACCCAGUCGUGGGGGAUAACUAUCCGAAAGGAUAGCUAAUACCGCAUACGUCCUGAGGGAGAAAGCGGGGGAUCGCAAGACCUCGCGCGAUUGGAGCGGCCGAUAUCGGAUUAGCUAGUUGGUGGGGUAAAGGCUCACCAAGGCGACGAUCCGUAGCGGGUCUGAGAGGACGACCCGCCACACUGGAACUGAGACACGGUCCAGACUCCUACGGGAGGCAGCAGUGGGGAAUUUUGGACAAUGGGGCAACCCUGAUCCAGCCAUUCCGCGUGAGUGAAGAAGGCCUUCGGGUUGUAAAGCUCUUUCAGCAGGAACGAAACGGUGGUCCCUAAUACGGACUACUAAUGACGGUACCUGAAGAAGAAGCACCGGCUAACUACGUG